rnacentral:tmRNA from 1 species
CCCCUUUGCACCGCCAAACGAAGCCCUUAUAUUCACAGUGUUCCGCAAGGGACUAUGGACAUAAACGCGCUCGUAAUAAGCGGAUCGGACCCGGGGGCGGUACCCGGCGGCUCCACCAAAACUCCUUCGUUUGAGGACCAUGGGGCCGAAAUAGGAUCGACGAACGUCUAAAGGGGUUUUGCUUUGUCCCGGUGAGAUACCACCGUUAUCGGUUCAAACAGUACAAUUGCAAACGACAAUCGUGCUCCGGUUGCUCUGGCUGCGUAAGCAGUUCGAGUGAUCGAUCUUUAAGCCCAGCCCUCUAGCAAGGUCUGGCGGGGUUCGCAGGCACCUGGCAACAGAAGCCUGCACU